ACUCCAGCCUGGGUGACAGAGCAAGACUCUGUCUCUCUCUUUUAUUUCUUUCUCUUUCUUUAACUAUGUGCCGAGCUGAAAUAAAUAAAUAAGUAAGUAAGUAAGCCACAAGCCGAAAGCCUUGGCCUUGCUUUAGUAAUCUCUGAGGCUACAGAGCUCACCAGCUGCCUCAAAAGCAAAGGGUUACAAAAUAAUCCUAAGGGCGACC
rnacentral:lncRNA from 1 species